rnacentral:lncRNA from 1 species
GCUGAUGACUGUGGUGGAGUUAUCAUCAACAAAGAUCCUCUCCGCUUGUAACUCCUAUCUCGCAUAGAUGAUGUCCAUCCAAGCAACACGAGCUUCGCUUCAGGAACAAACGGCUUGAAAAGAUUAAAGCCCUCGGUAGCCAACAGCCUGGCAUUCAGGCCCCCGAUAACAUAGCUCACACCUUCCCUACCAUUCCUAAGACUACUAUUAAAGUUGACCUUGACAAACCCCGAGGGAGGGGCUCUUAGAAAAUCAAAAAAUUCCUCCGCAUCGCUGCAGGCACAGCAA